UACAGAGGUCUCAAGCGUUGUUCGGAAUCACUGGACGUAAAGGGUGCGUAGGUGGCGUGGUAAGUCAGAUGUGAAAGCCCGGGGCUCAACCUCGGAAUUGCAUCCGAUACUACCAUGCUAGAGUACUGAAGAGGUGACUAGAAUUCUCGGUGUAGCAGUGAAAUGCGUAGAUAUCGAGAGGAAUACCAACGGCGAAGGCAGGUCACUGGGCAGUUACUGACACUGAGGCACGAAGGCCAGGGGAGCAAACGGG
rnacentral:rRNA from 1 species